rnacentral:rRNA from 1 species
UACAGAGGUCUCAAGCGUUGUUCGGAUUCAUUGGGCGUAAAGGGUGCGUAGGCGGCGCGGUAAGUCGGGUGUGAAAUCUCGGAGCUUAACUCCGAAACUGCAUUCGAUACUGUCGUGCUUGAGGACUGGAGAGGAGACUGGAAUUUACGGUGUAGCGGUGAAAUGCGUAGAUAUCGUAAGGAAGACCAGUGGCGAAGGCGACUCACUGGACACAUAUUGACGCUGAGGUGCGAAAGCGUGGGGAGCAAACAGG